UAACACAUUCAUUUCCCCUCCAAGGUUC
rnacentral:piRNA from 1 species